rnacentral:rRNA from 1 species
AGUUUGAUCCUGGCUCAGGAUGAACGCUGGCGGCAUGCCUAAUACAUGCUAGUCGAACGGAGUGAAGCCUUCGGGUUUCAUUCAGUGGCGAACGGGUGAGUAAUACGCAGGGAACCUGGCCAUGGCAGGGGGAUACACUCUGGAAACGGAGCAUAAGACCCCAUAGGCAGUAAGGCGGCAUCGCCUUGCUGUUAAAGAAAGCUGAAAGGCUUUGGCGAUGGAUGGACCUGCGGUGCAUUAGCUUGUUGGUGAGGCAACGGCUUACCAAGGCGAUGAUGCAUAGCCGGCCUGAGAGGGCGGACGGCCACACUGGGACUGAGACACGGCCCAGACUCCUGCGGGAGGCAGCAGUAGGGAAUUUUCGUCAAUGGGCGCAAGCCUGAACGAGCAAUGCCGCGUGAGUGAGGAAGGUCUUCGGACUGUAAAGCUCUGUUGCCGGGGAAAAAGGGGAAAUGCAGGAAAUGGCAUUUCAUGGAUGGUACCCGGCCAGAAAGCCACGGCUAACUACGUGCCAGCAGCCGCGGUAAUACGUAGGUGGCGAGCGUUAUCCGGAAUGAUUGGGCGUAAAGGGUGCGCAGGCGGUCUGUUAAGUCUGAAGGCAAAGGGAUGAGCUCAACUCAUUUAUGAUUCAGAAACUGGCAGACUUGAGGACAGGAGAGGGCGGUGGAACUCCAUGUGUAGCGGUAAAAUGCGCAGAGAUAUGGAAGAACACCAGUGGCGAAGGCGGCCGCCUGGCCUGUGACUGACGCUGAGGCACGAAAGCGUGGGGAGCAAAUAGGAUUAGAUACCCUAGUAGUCCACGCCGUAAACGAUGAGGAGCAGGUGUUGGGAGUGAAAUCUCAGUGCCGAAGCCAACGCAGUGACUCCUCCGCCUGGGGAGUAUGCACGCAAGUGUGAAACUCAAAGGAAUUGACGGGGGCCCGCACAAGCGGUGGAGUAUGUGGUUUAAUUCGAAGCAACGCGAAGAACCUUACCAGGUUUUGACAUCGGAUGCGAAGGCGCAGAGAUGCGCUGGAGGCUAUCAUCCAGACAGGUGGUGCAUGGUUGUCGUCAGCUCGUGUCGUGAGAUGUUCAGUUAAGUCUGGCAACGAGCGCAACCCCCGUGGUAUGUUACUAACGCAUUUGGGCGAGGACUCAUAUCAGACUGCCGGUGACAAACCGGAGGAAGGCGGGGAUGACGUCAAAUCAUCAUGCCCCUUAUGGCCUGGGCUACACACGUACUACAAUGGCGUCUACAGAGGGAAGCGACCCUGAGAAGGGAAGCGAAACCGGAAAAGGGCGUCCCAGUUCGGAUUGAAGUCUGCAACCCGACUUCAUGAAGAUGGAAUCGCUAGUAAUCGCGGAUCAGCAUGCCGCGGUGAAUACGUUCCCGGGCCUUGUACACACCGCCCGUCAAACCAUGGAAGCCGGCAACGCCCGAAGCCGGUGGCAUAACCUUUUAGGAGUGAGCCGUCGAAGGCGGGGCCGAUGACUGGGGUUAAGUCGUAACAAGGUACCC